rnacentral:rRNA from 1 species
UGGAUCCAGACUUUGAUCCUGGCUCAGGAUGAACGCUAGCUACAGGCUUAACACAUGCAAGUCGAGGGGAAACGAUAUUGGAAGCUUGCUUCCGAUAGGCGUCGACCGGCGCACGGGUGAGUAACGCGUAUCCAACCUGCCCAUCACUUGGGGAUAACCUUGCGAAAGUAAGACUAAUACCCAAUGAUAUCUCAAGAAGACAUCUGAAUGAGAUUAAAGAUUUAUCGGUGAUGGAUGGGGAUGCGUCUGAUUAGCUUGUUGGCGGGGUAACGGCCCACCAAGGCGACGAUCAGUAGGGGUUCUGAGAGGAAGGUCCCCCACAUUGGAACUGAGACACGGUCCAAACUCCUACGGGAGGCAGCAGUGAGGAAUAUUGGUCAAUGGGCGAGAGCCUGAACCAGCCAAGUAGCGUGCAGGAUGACGGCCCUAUGGGUUGUAAACUGCUUUUAUAAGGGAAUAAAGUGAGCCUCGUGAGGCUUUUUGCAUGUACCUUAUGAAUAAGGACCGGCUAAUUCCGUGCCAGCAGCCGCGGUAAUACGGAAGGUCCGGGCGUUAUCCGGAUUUAUUGGGUUUAAAGGGAGCGUAGGCCGGAGAUUAAGCGUGUUGUGAAAUGUAGAUGCUCAACAUCUGCACUGCAGCGCGAACUGGUUUCCUUGAGUACGCACAAAGUGGGCGGAAUUCGUGGUGUAGCGGUGAAAUGCUUAGAUAUCACGAAGAGCUCCGAUUGCGAAGGCAGCCCACUGGAGCGCAACUGACGCUGAAGCUCGAAAGUGCGGGUAUCGAACAGGAUUAGAUACCCUGGUAGUCCGCACGGUAAACGAUGGAUGCCCGCUGUUGGUCUGAAUAGGUCAGCGGCCAAGCGAAAGCAUUAAGCAUCCCACCUGGGGAGUACGCCGGCAACGGUGAACUCAAAUGAAUUGACGGA